UACGUAGGUGGCGAGCGUUGUCCGGAUUUACUGGGCGUAAAGAGCGCGCAGGCGGUCGUUCAAGUCGGAUGUGAUAGCCCCCGGCUCAACUGGGGAGGGUCAUUCGAUACUGAUCGACUCGAAGGCAGGAGAGGGAAGCGGAAUUCCCGGUGUAGUGGUGAAAUGCGUAGAUAUCGGGAGGAACACCAGUGGCGAAGGCGGCUUCCUGGCCUGUUCUUGACGCUGAGGCGCGAAAGCUAGGGGAGCAAACGGG
rnacentral:rRNA from 1 species